UACGGAGGGUGCAAGCGUUAUCCGGAUUCACUGGGUUUAAAGGGUGCGUAGGCGGGUAAGUAAGUCCGUGGUAAAAUCUCUGAGCUUAACUCAGAAACUGCCGUGGAUACUAUUUGCCUUGAAUAUUGUGGAGGUGAGCGGAAUAUGUCAUGUAGCGGUGAAAUGCUUAGAUAUGACAUAGAACACCAAUUGCGAAGGCAGCUCACUACACAAUCAUUGACGCUGAGGCACGAAAGCGUGGGGAUCAAACAGG
rnacentral:rRNA from 1 species